CCUGGGUUUGGGAUUGGUACAAAAUCAUAUCUCAAUAAUUACCAGUAGGUACAGAUGAUUUCAACCAUUUCAGACAUAUUGAUGGAGAGCUUCUGGGUUAUUAACAGUCUUCCAGUAGGCCUAUGAUCUGGUUCAAUUCCCCUUUUUUAACGUUAUU